rnacentral:rRNA from 1 species
GACGUAGGGCGCGAGCGUUGUCCGGAUUUAUUGGGCGUAAAGAGCUCGUAGGCGGCUUGUCGCGUCGUCCGUGAAAACUUGGGGCUCAACCCCAAGCUUGCGGUCGAUACGGGCAGGCUAGAGUUCGGUAGGGGAGACUGGAAUUCCUGGUGUAGCGGUGAAAUGCGCAGAUAUCAGGAGGAACACCGGUGGCGAAGGCGGGUCUCUGGGCCGUACCUGACACUAAAACGCGACAGCAUGGGGAGCGAACGGG